rnacentral:rRNA from 1 species
GAUGAACGCUGGCGGCGUGCCUAACACAUGCAAGUCGAACGGAAAGGCGCUGCUUUUGCUGGGUGUUCGAGUGGCGAGCGCGUGUGUAACACAUGAGUAUCCCGCACUUUACGUUGGGAUAACUUCAGGAAACUGGGGCUAAUACCCGAUAUGAGCUUCUGCUGCAUGGUGGUGGUUGGAAAGUUUCGGCGUUUGGAGAUGUACGGGCGGCUUACGGGCUGGUUGGUGGAGUAGUUGCUUACCAAGCUUUCGACGGGUAGCCGGCAUGAGAGCGUGAACAGGGACAUUGGUACUACGAGACGGCCCAGACGCGUACGGGAGGCAGCAGUGGGGAAUAUUGCACAGUGGGCGCGAGCGUGAGGCAGAGACGCCGCGUGCGGGAUGACGGCCUUCUGGUGGUAAACCGCUUUCGCCUGUGACGAAGCGUGAGUGACGGUAAUGAGUAAGGAAGCACCGGCUAACUACGUG